rnacentral:rRNA from 1 species
AUGCCUUCACAAGCAAAGCAAAGCAAUACCAGUUCCAGUCCAGUAAGCGCACAGUGCCCGUCUCGCCUCCUCCGCCACUCGUCCUUCUCUAUGCCGAUGUCCUGCCUCCACCUCCGCCGCCGCCGCUCCUACUCCUGCAUUUCCACCUCGCCGCCCUCACGCUCCUGGUCUUCGGACGCCGCCUUUUCCGCUGCCGCAGAGCGCGUCCGCGCCGGGACGCUCAGCCCGGAAGACACACACCACCUGUUCGACCAAUUGCUGCGGCAGUCCACUCCGGUCCCGGAGCAAGCCCUGAAAGCCUUCCUCACCGGCCAUGCCCGUGCGCGGGACACCGACGCCUGGAGAGACGGCCCCUCCCUUGCCCUCACACUCUUCAACCGUGUAUGCCGAGAAGAAGCCGGCCGGCGGGUGGCGCCGCCCACAGUCAACACCUACGCCAUCCUGAUGAACUGCUACUGCCGCGUGAGACGUCCUGACCUAGGGCUUGCCUACUUCGGCCGCCUCCUAAGAACCAGCCUCAAAACAAAUGAGGUUGUCGCCAGCACCUUCCUCAAGUGCCUCUGCCGUGCAAAACGGACAUAUGAAGUUGUGGACGUGCUGCUUCACAGGACGUCUGUCCUCGGCUAUGUGCCAAAUUUCUUCUCAUACAAUAUAGUUCUGAAGAGCAUAUGUGAUGACAGCAGGAGACAGCAAGCGCUCGGCCUGCUCCAGGUGAUGGCAAAAGGAGAUGAUUGCUCCCCCUGUGUGCUGUCAUAUAGCACGGUCAUCAAUGGCUUCUUUAAGGAAGGGGAAGUAGGCAAGGCAUGCAAUCUAUUCCAUGAAAUGACCUGGCAAGGGGUUGUGCCUAAUGUGGUGCCAUAUAACUCGAUUAUCAAUGCAAUGUGCAAGGCAGGAGCAAUGGACAAGACAGAGCUGGUCCUUCGGCCAAUGGUCGAUAAUGGUGUCCGACCGGAUAAAAUGAUAUGUAAUAGUAUGAUCCAUGGAUAUUCAACUUUGGGCCGGUGGAAAGAGGCGGGUAAAGUGUUCAGAGAAAUGACAAGCCGGGGUCUUAUACCAGAUAUUUUCACUUGGAACUCGUUCAUGGGCUCCCUUUGCAAGCAUGGAAGAAGCAAAGAAGCUGCAGAAAUUUUCUUUUCCAUGGCUGCAAAGGGCCACAAACCUAAUAUUGUCUCCUACAUUCUUCUUCUUCGUGUGUAUGCCAAUGAAGGAAGAUUUGCUGAUAUGAUGAGUCUCCUUAAUUUAAUGGAAGGCGACGGUAUUGUAGCCAACUGCCAAAUUUUCACCAUAUUAAUUGAUGCAUAUGCUAAACAAGGAAUGAUUGAUGAAGCUAUGCUCGUACUUACUGACAUGCGGGGACAAGGACUGAGUCCGGAUGUAUUCACCUAUUCAGCUCUAUUAUCUGCACUUUGUAGAAUGGGUAGGCUGGCUGAUGCUAUGGAUAAGUUCACUCAGAUGAUUGGCACGGGAGUACAACCGAACACAGUUGUUUAUCACUCCCUAGUUCAGGGCUUAUGUACACAUGGUGAUUUGGCGAAAGCGAAGGAGUUAGUUUCUAAAAUGAUGAAUAAAGGUAUUGCUCGUCCAAACAUUGCAUUGUUCAGUUCAAUAAUGGCCAGUCUAUGCAAUGAAGGAAGGGUUAUGGAUGCACACCAUAUCUUUGACUUGGUUACAGACAUAGGUGAGAAACCUAAUAUCAUUAUGUUUACUACGCUGAUUGAUGGAUAUUGCUUAGUCGGCAAGAUGGACAAAGCAUGUGGAGUACUUGAUGCCAUGGUAUCAGCUGGCAUUGAGCCUAAUGUCGUUACAUAUAGUACACUUGUCAGUGGAUAUUGUAAAAAUGGACGGAUCGAUAAUGGGUUGAUUCUGUUCAGAGACAUGUUGAGAACUGCUGCUGCAAAGAAAAUGUUCCGUGAGAUUAUCGAAAGUAGAAUAAUUGUGAGCAUUUCUACAUAUAAUAUAAUUCUUGGGAUGACUUUGUAG